AGGAUAAACGCUGGCGGCGUGCCUAACACAUGCAAGUCGAACGUCCUACGCAAGUAGGGAGUGGCGGACGGGUGAGUAACACGUGGGCAAUCUACCUUUCGGUGAGGAAUACCGGCGAGAAAUCGCCGACAAUACCGCAUACGCUUCGCAAGAAGCAAAGUCGCAAGACGCCGGAGGAGGAGCCUGCGCCCGAUUAGCUGGUUGGUGGAGUAAUGGUCUACCAAGGCGACGAUCGGUAGCUGGUCUGAGAGGAUGAUCAGCCACACUGGGAUUGAGAACGGCCCCAGACUCCUACGGGAGGCAGCAGUGGGGAAUUUUGCGCAAUGGGGGAAACCCUGACGCAGCAACGCCGCGUGGAGGAUGAAGUCCCUUGGGACGUAAACUCCUUUCGACCAAGACGAUAAUGACGGUACUGGUGGAAGAAGCACCGGCUAACUCUGUGCCAGCAGCCGC
rnacentral:rRNA from 1 species